AGUGAACGCUGGCGGUAGGCCUAACACAUGCAAGUCGAACGGCAGCACAGGAGAGCUUGCUCUCUAGGUGGCGAGUGGCGGACGGGUGAGGAAUACAUCGGAAUCUGCCCAGUCGUGGGGGAUAACGUAGGGAAACUUACGCUAAUACCGCAUACGACCUUCGGGUGAAAGAGGGGGAUCGCAAGACCUCUCGCGAUUGGAUGAGCCGAUGUCGGAUUAGCUAGUUAGCGGGGUAAUGGCCCACCAAGGCGACGAUCCGUAGCUGGUCUGAGAGGAUGAUCAGCCACACUGGAACUGAGUCACGGUCCAGACUCCUACGGGAGGCAGCAGUGGGGAAUAUUGGACAAUGGGCGCAAGCCUGAUCCAGCCAUACCGCGUGGGUGAAGAAGGCCUUCGGGUUGUAAAGCCCUUUUGUUGGGAAAGAAAUCUUUCAGGCUAAUACCCUGGGAGGAUGACGGUACCCAAAGAAUAAGCACCGGCUAACUUCGUG
rnacentral:rRNA from 1 species